rnacentral:rRNA from 1 species
AGCAGUAGCCGCGGUAAUACGUAGGUGGCAAGCGUUGUCCGGAAUUAUUGGGCGUAAAGGGCUCGCAGGCGGUUUCUUAAGUCUGAUGUGAAAGCCCCCGGCUCAACCGGGGAGGGUCAUUGGAAACUGGGAAACUUGAGUGCAGAAGAGGAGAGUGGAAUUCCACGUGUAGCGGUGAAAUGCGUAGAGAUGUGGAGGAACACCAGUGGCGAAGGCGACUCUCUGGUCUGUAACUGACGCUGAGGAGCGAAAGCGUGGGGAGCGAACAGGAUUAGAUACCCCUGUAGUCCCUGUCUCUUAUAA